rnacentral:rRNA from 1 species
UACGGGGGGGGCAAGCGUUGUUCGGAAUCACUGGGCUUAAAGGGCGCGUAGGCGGAUUCUCAAGUCCGGGGUGAAAUCCCACAGCUCAACUGUGGAACUGCCUCGGAUACUGGGAGUCUCGAGGGUGGCAGGGGUAUGCGGAACUAUCGGUGGAGCGGUGAAAUGCGUUGAUAUCGAUAGGAACUCCGGUGGCGAAGGCGGCAUACUGGUCCACUUCUGACGCUGAGGCGCGAAAGCCAGGGGAGCAAACGGG